rnacentral:rRNA from 1 species
GAUGAACGCUGGCGGCGUGCCUAAUACAUGCAAGUCGAGCGAACAGACGAGGAGCUUGCUUCUCUGACGUUAGCGGCGGACGGGUGAGUAACACGUGGAUAACCUACCUAUAAGACUGGGAUAACUUCGGGAAACCGGAGCUAAUACCGGAUAAUAUUUUGAACCGCAUGGUUCAAUAGUGAAAGACGGUCUUGCUGUCACUUAUAGAUGGAUCCGCGCUGCAUUAGCUAGUUGGUAAGGUAACGGCUUACCAAGGCAACGAUGCAUAGCCGACCUGAGAGGGUGAUCGGCCACACUGGAACUGAGACACGGUCCAGACCCCUACGGGAGGCAGCAGUAGGGAAUCUUCCGCAAUGGGCGAAAGCCUGACGGAGCAACGCCGCGUGAGUGAUGAAGGUCUUCGGAUCGUAAAACUCUGUUAUUAGGGAAGAACAUAUGUGUAAGUAACUGUGCACAUCUUGACGGUACCUAAUCAGAAAGCCACGGCUAACUACGUG